AUGUCUCAGUACAAGCCUAAUUAAGGUGAAACCGCGAAAGGCUCAUUANAUCAGUUAUGGUUCCUUAGAUCGUACCCACAUUUACUUGGAUAACUGUGGUAAUUCUAGAGCUAAUACAUGCCAAUAGAGCUCCGACCGGAGACGGAAGGAGUGCUUUUAUUAGAUCAAAACCAAUCGGUGGCGAGUUCGCUCGUCAUCGCCCAGCUUGGUGACUCUGAAUAACUUUACGCUGAUCGCACGGUCUCGCACCGGCGACGCAUCUUUCAAAUGUCUGCCUUAUCAACUGUCGAUGGUAGGUUCUGCGCCUACCAUGGUUGUAACGGGUAACGGGGAAUCAGGGUUCGAUUCCGGAGAGGGAGCCUGAGAAACGGCUACCACAUCCAAGGAAGGCAGCAGGCGCGCAAAUUACCCACUCCCGGCACGGGGAGGUAGUGACGAAAAAUAACGAUACGGGACUCAUCCGAGGCCCCGUAAUCGGAAUGAGAACACUCUAAACCCUUUAACGAGGAUCAAUUGGAGGGCAAGUCUGGUGCCAGCAGCCGCGGUAAUUCCAGCUCCAAUAGCGUAUAUUAAAGUUGUUGCGGUUAAAAAGCUCGUAGUCGGAUCUGUGUCUCGCGCCGUUGGUUCAUCGUCCGCGGUGUUAACUGACGUUUCGCGAGACGUAUUGCCGGUGGGCUUGCCUCUUCGGGGGCGGCCCAACUAAUCCCGCCGCGGUGCUCUUAACUGAGUGUCGAGGUAGGCCGGCACGUUUACUUUGAACAAAUUAGAGUGCUUAAAGCAGGCUAAAACUUCGCCUGAAUANUGUGUGCAUGGAAUAAUGGAAUAGGACCUCGGUUCUAUUUUGUUGGUUUUCGGAACCCCGAGGUAAUGAUUAAUAGGAACGGAUGGGGGCAUUCGUAUUGCGA
rnacentral:rRNA from 1 species